GAUGGAGGUUUCAAUUUUUACUGUAAGACAAAGAAUGGACAGAGUCAGAGAUAUAUGAUAUAAAGAACUCUGGUUGUUCAAACUGAUGGUCAAACCGAUAUAGAAAUAAAUUGAAAUAGAUGACUUGUCGAUUAACUGGGAGAAACCGAGGCGAGGAACGAUACAAAUGAAAGUCAACGCAACGAAAGUGUUUUUGUUUUGAUGGUUGACUUGGAAAGCACAAAGAAAGCAUUUUUAAUAAAAGUACAUGUACUUAGAGAAGUAGGAGAAGAUAAUCAACAGAACAGAAGUCAUUAGAGGCAAUGCUUUCUAGAUUAUAUAGACUAGUAGUGGAUUUGAAAAUUGCUGUAUUGAUUCAUGUGCAAAUAAGGAGUAGCAGACAACGAAACAUUGUGUGAUGAAAGAGGUCAUUUCUCCACAAAAACAAGCUAAAUGUCAAUGGGCCUGAUGAAAUCGAGUUUUUUCUUGGAUAUUUGGGAGAAGUGGAACAUAUUAAUGAUACAGAAAAGGGGGAAAUAUUACAGUACAUGGACACCAGCAUGAGCAAGAAAAGACAAGAAUCUGCCUUGGAAAGAAACUAGUUUGAAGAAAAAGAAAAAAGAUGAUGAAAUUGACUUAUUUUUGUUACAAUAUAUUUGAAAUGUUACAUUUGAUUAUACACUUUACAAAUUUUAAAAAUAUAUUCUUCUACCACA